ACCUGGGUGGCUCAGUUGGUUAAGCAUCCGACUUCAGCUCAGGUCAUGAUCCCUCAGUUUGUGGGUUCAAGCCCCACGUCAGGUU
rnacentral:tRNA from 1 species